AGUGAAAUUGCUGGGUUAUAUGGAAAUUAUGUAUAACUUUCUGAGGAACUGACAAAGUGUUUUCUGAAGUGGUUGCACCAUUUUACAUUCCCACUAGCAAU
rnacentral:pre_miRNA from 1 species